rnacentral:lncRNA from 1 species
GAUAAAAGGAUUACAAGGUGGAGGAACGGAGGCUGAGAAAGAAUUGGGACCUAGCUCGGCCUGGCGAGGAGCAGCCUGGGGAGGAAGGGAGAGGUCAGAUGGGUCUGUAGAAAAGGAAGAUUAGAAAGACUCAGCGACGCUUGGGGUUGGUACUGAGGGGACAGGCGGGAGGGAAAGAAGGAAGAUUUGGGACAAGUUGCACUGGGCACAGGGACUAGGAAGGGACUGAGUGUGUAAAAGAAUGCCUGGAGUCAGGCACCUCAGACCAUUUGCCUAUUUUAUGACAAGAAUUAUUUAGAUUUUGCAGGUUGGAAAAAUUCAAAGUGCCAUUUUCUGGCUAUUUGGAACUACUGUCGAGUUUGUAUUGGGGUCAAGCGGCAUUGCAGAAGAAAAUAAGGCAUUUAGGUUUUAGGUCAGGUGUGAGUUGAAGAGGUUUUUAAUUUUUGAGAACACAGGCUAAGGGAGAAGAAGGAGGAAUGGAAGGUGGAAACUUACCCAUAGUGAAGGAGGCAAGCCCAGAGAAAAGAGUAGAGACACAGAGAAGGGGUUGUGGGGGGGUGCGGUUCUUGCCCUCCAGAAAAGCAGAGAAGGGGUUGGGGCAUGGAAAUAAGGGAUUGGGGCACAGACAUAAGAGGUCAGGGUGCAGAAAUAAGGGAUUGGGGCACAGAGAUAAGAGGUUGGGGUGUGGAAAUAAGGGAUUGGGGCACAGAGAUAAGAGGUUGGGAUGUGGUAAUAAGCGAUUAGGGGGUUCUUGCCCCCUAGGAAAGCGGGACUUGCUACUAAGGGUGAAGGAGAAGGGGCUGAGGGGUACUUGCCCCUGCCCCAGAAAAGCAGGACUUGCCACUAAGGGUGAAGGAGAAGGGGUUGAGGGGUACUUGCCCCUGCCCCAGAAAAGCAGGACUUGCCACUAAGGGUGAAGGAGAAGGGGUUGAGGGGUACUUGCCCCUCCCCCAGAAAAGCAGGACUUGCCACUAAGGGUGAAGGAGAAGGGGUUGAGGGGUACUUGCCCCUGCCCCAGAAAAGCAGGACUUGCCACUAAGGGUGAAGGAGAAGGGGUUGAGGGGUACUUGCCCCUCCCCCAGAAAAGCAGGACUUGCCACUAAGGGUGAAGGAGAAGGGGUUGAGGGGUACUUGCCCCUCCCCCAGAAAAGCAGGACUUGCCACUAAGGGUGAAGGAGAAGCGGUUGAGGGGUACUUGCCCCUGCCCCAGAAAAGCAGGACUUGCCACUAAGGGUGAAGGAGAAGGGGUUGAGGGGUACUUGCCCCUCUCCCAGAAAAGCAGAGAAGGGGUAGAGACAAGGAGAGAAGGGGUUGGGGUACUUGCCCUUCCCCAGAAAAGCAGGACUUGCCGCUAAGGGUGAAGGACCAAGGCAGGCGUCCCUGCGUGGUCUGACACCCUUGAAACAUGAGUGUAUAAUCAGAGGCGUCCCUGCAAUGAUUAAACACCAAGGGAAGGCUGCCUUCCCAGUCCAUGACCGGCGCCGGAGUUUUGGGUCCACGGAUAAAACGUGUCUCCUUUGUCUCUACCAGAAAAUGAAAGGAAUUGAAAUUAAGAGAAGGGAGAAAUUGAAGUGUGGCACCAAGAUUGAAAGGAGAAAGAGGUUGAGGGAUAGUGAGGGAGGUUGGAGAAGAGAGUAAAAAGAGGCCGCUUGCCGGAUUUGAAAUUGGUGAGAUGUUUCUUGGGCUGGUCACUCUGAGGACCUGAGGUCGUAGGUGGAUCUUUCUCAUGGAGCAAAGAACAGGAGGACAGGGGAUUGAUCUCCCAAGGGAGGUCCCCCGAUCCGAGUCACGGCACCAAAUCUCAUGCGCGUCCGUAUGAAGAGACCACCAAACAGGCUUUGUGGAGAAGAUGUCGAAGACACAGGAGAAGACAAGCCAGGGAGAGGGGCUUAGAGCAGAUUCUCCCUUGCAGCCUCAGAAGGAAUCAGUCCUGGUCACACCUUGAUCUCAGACUUCUGGCCUCCAGAAUGGUAGCAGCAGCAAAAAUGGCAAAAUGAGGACUUUUGAGAAUUCCUUUCUCUAUGGAAACAAAACCCUGGGGGAAAAUGGUCUGAAUCAACCUUUUCAGAACUCUGGAAAUUAGCCCGAGACUUGAAGCAAUUCAGGUUGCAUUUGUAUAAGAAAAGUGACAGAAUCUCAGUAAGAACAGCAAGCUUUGAAGGAUUUGAACUUGCCCAGUUGCCUUCCUUCUUUCUCCAUCUCUGCAGGGGACUUAAAACCAACAUCCCACACUCAUAAUGAAAACCUGGCAGGAGGCAGAACAGGAUUGGAGCUGCUUCAAAGCCUUAGGUCCAGAGAACUCAUCACCUAUGCAGAUCCUCAAUAAGACUCAAAGCUGAUUCCGCCUCAGAAACCAUGGAGACCCAAAGCCAAAUUCAAAGUGCUGAAAGUUAACUCAUCCAAUCAGUCAACUCUUGUACAGACCUCCUUUUUUUUUGUUCUUGGAGUUUGUUUUAUUCUAAUAAAGGUGUUUUAUAUUGUUGUUGUAUUAUUCUUAAAUACCAUAUUUUAGUUGCUAUUAUAAAUGGUACUUCUAUUGCCGUUUUGUCUAACAUUUUCUGGUGGUCAAAUUUCUAGCUAGUGUGGAAGAACACUGAUGGUUUUUACUUAUUGAUUUUCUCUCUGGCAAUCUCACUAAACCUUAUGAUAAGUAAUAAACCUUAUGAUAGUAGAAAAGGUUGAUAUGAUAUGAUAGUAGUAAUCCUCUGGAUUACCCAUCCCCUCUUGAUAAUCUCUGUUGAAAUAAUCACAUUAUGUGCAACUAAUGACAAUGUCACUGCUCUUAUAGUCUCUAUGUGCAUUUCUUUUUCUUGUCUUACUGCUUUGACUCAUUCAGUUGACUGCCAUUCACAGAACAGAUGUGGAACGGUUGUUUUCGUUAUCAUGUGCCUAAAAAGAAUGUGAUUAAAAUUUGCCAGUUCAAUAUAAUAUUGGAUGUAGGGUUUUAAUAAAUAACUUUCAACAAACUGCAAGAGUCAUCUUCCCUUUCUAGUAUUCUAAUGGCACUGGUUUUUUAAAAAUAAUAAAUUGGUAUUGAAGUUGUCUUAUGCUUUUUUCUGUAUCCAUUUCCAUUAAGAUAAUUAUUUGGAUUUUUUCUACUUUUCAUUAUAUGAUAUAUUGAAUAAUUAUAUUUUCUGAGGCUGAACUCUCCUUGAAUCUCUGUUACAAAUGCUGCUUGUCAUGAGAUACUAUUUUUCAUGCUGUCGUUAAAUUAGUAAAUUAAUUUUUAUUUAGGAUCUUAAAUCUACAUAUGUAAGUAAAACU